GCAUUUCUGCUCGAUCUCGUGACUUCCCUAAUAUGAUUUACAUUUUAAAUAAUAUUCAAACUCAUGCUUCAUUAAAUUCUUGUUUUAUGUGAAAUUGACAUCUUACCUUCCUCUCAAUGCAGGGAUGGGACCAUUCCAUGUAUCACUCUUAUACUAGGAGGAAACCUCACCCAAGGUAAGACUGAUGUCAUUUUUGUCCUGAUUCUUAACUGAAAGUAAUGCUAUUUUUAGCUAGCAAUCUUUAUCAGAUUGUCAUAUUGUAGAGGAAUAUCUCUUAGGAGUAUAAGAUUUAUACAAGAAUUUAACUUAUAUAUACUGAUUGCGUGCACCAUAAAGAAUUUUUACAGUGUCUUUUAACAUGUUUUACCAAGUAAUAUAUUUUAUUUUUCAGGUUACUAAUCUAACAUUUUAUAAUGGUUAUAUAUACUUAUCUUUUAGGCGAUUGAUAGUGUAAAUGCAAAGGCUCAUUUGAGGCGCGCUUAAGCCCUGAAGCUAAAAAGGCUCAGGGUGUGUGCUUCGCCUCACUUUGGCUGCUCUUCAGUGUAAG
rnacentral:lncRNA from 1 species